rnacentral:vault_RNA from 1 species
GGGCUGGCUUUCGCCCAGUGGUUCCUUGGAGUCUGGCUUCUCAACCGACUGGGCCGAUUGAUCUGGUGGUUCGAGACCCGCGGGCACUCUCCAGUCCUUAA